rnacentral:rRNA from 1 species
CUCCAGUUCAUCCUCGACCGCAUCAAGGCACGGCUUGCAGGCUGGAAGGGACGAAUGUUGUCCAUGGCAGGCAGGCGAGUCCUCGUCCGCUGCGUCCUCUUGGCGCUGCCCACCUUUGCCCUCACAGUGCCGCGGGUGCCCAAGAAGCUUCUGAAGGAAAUUGACAAGCACAUGCAACAGUUUCUUUGGGGGAAGGACCAAGAACUCUCCGGUGGCAGCUGCAAGGUAAAUUGGGAGCGGGUAUGCUCACCGAUCGAGCAUGGCGGCCUGGGUGUACUAGAUCUUCCAAAAUUCAGUCGCGUGCUCUGGCUGAGAUGGCUCUGGCACAGUUGGAAGAAUCCCACCCGCCCUUGGGUGGGAAUGGAGCCACUGUACGAUGCCUUGGCUCAUGCUCUCUUCAACGCAGCAACGACUAUGGCAAUCAGCAACGGGGGCACGGCAAGCUUCUGGAGUUCCUCUUGGCUAGGGCCGGUGCCUCUGAAGUUCUGCUUCCCGUCUCUCUUCAAGCACUCGCGGCGGAAGGGCAGAACGGUGGCACAAGCUAUCACCGGCGACCGCUGGGUUCUAGAACUUGUGCACGUCAACAACAGCGAUCUUGUCAGUGAGGUUCUGAAUCUACACCAUCUCAUUUAG